rnacentral:rRNA from 1 species
CGGACGGGUGAGUAACGCGUGGGUAACCUGCCUCAUACAGGGGGAUAACAGUUAGAAAUGACUGCUAAUACCGCAUAAGCGCACAAAACCGCAUGGUUUGGUGUGAAAAACUGAGGUGGUAUGAGAUGGACCUGCGUCUGAUUAGCUAGUUGGAGAGGUAACGGCUCACCAAGGCAACGAUCAGUAGCCGACCUGAGAGGGUGACCGGCCACAUUGGGACUGAGACACGGCCCAAACUCCUACGGGAGGCAGCAG